AAGGAUUCCCCUAGUAACUGCGAGUGAAGCGGGAAAAGCUCAAAUUUAAAAUCUGGCGGUCUUUGGCUGUCCGAGUUGUAAUCUAGAGAAGUGUUAUCCGCGCUGGACCGUGUACAAGUCUCCUGGAAUGGAGCGUCAUAGAGGGUGAGAAUCCCGUCUUUGACACGGACUGCCAGGGCUUUGUGAUGCGCUCUCAAAGAGUCGAGUUGUUUGGGAAUGCAGCUCAAAAUGGGUGGUAAAUUCCAUCUAAAGCUAAAUAUUGGCGAGAGACCGAUAGCGAACAAGUACCGUGAGGGAAAGAUGAAAAGAACUUUGGAAAGAGAGUUAAACAGUACGUGAAAUUGCUGAAAGGGAAACGCUUGAAGUCAGUCGCGUUGGCCGGGAAUCAACCUUGCUCUUUUGCUUGGCGUACUUUCUGGUUGACGGGUCAGCAUCAAUUUUGACCGUUGGAUAAAGGCUUGGGGAAUGUGGCAUCUUCGGAUGUGUUAUAGCCCCUGGUUGCAUACAACGGUUGGGAUUGAGGAACUCAGCACGCCGCAAGGCCGGGUUUUUAACCACGUUCGUGCUUAGGAUGCUGGCAUAAUGGCUUUAAUCGACCCGUCUUGAAACACGGACCAAGGAGUCUAACAUGCCUGCGAGUGUUUGGGUGGAAAACCCGGACGCGUAAUGAAAGUGAAAGUUGAGAUCCCUGUCGCGGGGAGCAUCGACGCCCGGACCAGAAAUUUAUGGACGGUUCCGCGGUAGAGCAUGUAUGUUGGGACCCGAAAGAUGGUGAACUAUGCCUGAAUAGGGUGAAGCCAGAGGAAACUCUGGUGGAGGCUCGUAGCGAUUCUGACGUGCAAAUCGAUCGUCA
rnacentral:rRNA from 1 species